rnacentral:rRNA from 1 species
CAGUCGCCGCGGGAAAACGUAGGGUGCAAGCGUUAUCCGGAAUUAUUGGGCGUAAAGAGCUCGUAGGCGGUUUGUCACGUCUGCUGUGAAAACUGGAGGCUCAACCUCCAGCCUGCAGUGGGUACGGGCAGACUAGAGUGCGGUAGGGGAGAUUGGAAUUCCUGGUGUAGCGGUGGAAUGCGCAGAUAUCAGGAGGAACACCGAUGGCGAAGGCAGAUCUCUGGGCCGUAACUGACGCUGAGGAGCGAAAGGGUGGGGAGCAAACAGGCUUAGAUACCCCUGUAGUCCCUGUCUCUUAUAC